rnacentral:rRNA from 1 species
UACGUAGGGGGCAAGCGUUGUCCGGAUUUAUUGGGCGUAAAGAGCGUGUAGGCGGCCAGACAGGUCCGUUGUGAAAACUCGAGGCUCAACCUCGAGAUGUCGAUGGAAACCGUCUGGCUAGAGUCCGGAAGAGGAGUGUGGAAUUCCUGGUGUAGCGGUGAAAUGCGCAGAUAUCGGGAGGAACACCAAUGGCGAAGGCAGCUCGCUGGGACGGUACUGACGCUGAGACGCGAAAGCGUGGGGAGCAAACAGG